GAACAAAUGCUUAUUUAAAAUGGCGGCCUGGCAAACGACAAGGGCCACUUGAGUUAAGGGUUAAGAAAUAUAUAAUAAAAAGUUUGGGAACCACUGCUGUACUGUUGUACUGACACUCGUGCCCUGAAGGCUAUGCUUUGAGCAGCCACAAAUAUUCUUGUAAAAAGAUCAACGGAUAGCUUUGUCAUUAACACUUUGACAGAGUGCCAGACCUUGUCGAAAGAUUUAAAAGCUUCCAUGUAAUAUGUCAAAGUGACUCCAAUAGAUGAAUAGAGCCGGCCACUGGAUUCCUG